CCUACGGGAGGCAGCAGUGGGGGAUAUUGCACAAUGGGGGAAACCCUGAUGCAGCGACGCCGCGUGGGUGAAGAAGCGCCUCGGCGCGUAAAGCCCUGUCAGCAGGGAAGAAAAUGACGGUACCUGAAGAAGAAGCCCCGGCGAACUACGUGCCAGCAGCCGCGGUAAGACGUAGGGGGCAAGCGUUAUCCGGAUUUACUGGGUGGACAGGGGGCGCAGACGGCGAGGCAAGCCAGGAGUGAAAGCCCGGGGCCCAACCCCGGGACUGCUCUUGGAACUGCGUGGCUAGAGUGCAGGAGGGGCAGGCGGAAUUCCUGGUGUAGCGGUGAACUGCGUAGCUAUCAGGAGGAACCCCGGUGGCGACGGCGGCCUGCUGGACUGCAACUGACGUUGAGGCCCGAAAGCGUGGGGAGCAAACAGGAUUAGAUACCCCUGUAGUC
rnacentral:rRNA from 1 species